rnacentral:rRNA from 1 species
CAAUAGCGUAUAUUUAAGUUGUUGCAGUUAAAAAGCUCGUAGUUGGAUUUCGGGCGGGUGACGGCGGUCCGCCUCUGGUGUGCACUGCCGGCAUCCGCCUUUCUGUCGGGGACGGGCUCCUGGGCUUCAUUGCUUGGGACUCGGGUUCGACGUGGUUACUUUGAGUAAAUUAGAGUGUUCAAAGCAGGCGAUCGCCCUGAAUACAUUAGCAUGGAAUAGCACGAUAGGACUCUGGCCUAUUUUGCUGGUCUGUAGGACCGGAGUAAUGAUUAAGAGGGACAGUCGGGGGCAUUCGUAUUUCAUUGUCAGAGGUGAAAUUCUUGGAUUUAUGAAAGACGAACUUCUGCGAAAGCAUUUGCCAAGGAUGUUUUCAUUGA